rnacentral:rRNA from 1 species
UACGUAGGCAGCAAGCGUUGUUCGGAAUUACUGGGCGUAAAGAGUGCGUAGGCGGUGCUCUAAGUCUGGUGUGAAAUCUCCCGGCUCAACUGGGAGGGUGCGCCGGAAACUGGAGUGCUUGAGUGUGGGAGAGGUAAGCGGAAUUCCUGGUGUAGCGGUGAAAUGCGUAGAUAUCAGGAGGAACACCUGUGGUGUAGACAGCUUACUGGACCACGACUGACGCUGAGGCACGAAAGCGUGGGUAGCAAACAGG